UACGGGGGGGGCAAGCGUUGUUCGGAUUUACUGGGCGUAAAGGGCGCGUAGGCGGCGGGUCAAGUCGAGUGUGAAAGCCCCGGGCUCAACCUGGGAAUUGCGCUCGAGACUGGUCUGCUUGAGUUCGGGAGAGGAGCGUGGAAUUCCCAGUGUAGAGGUGAAAUUCGUAGAUAUUGGGAAGAACACCGGUGGCGAAGGCGGCGCUCUGGACCGAGACUGACGCUGAGGCGCGAAAGCGUGGGGAGCAAACAGG
rnacentral:rRNA from 1 species